GGAGAGGCACGGCUUGAAUGAUGGGACGUUGGAUGCCCACAGUCUCGUUCCUCUUUGUCAGAGUCCCAGUUUCCUACAGAGACAGAGAGCUGCCCUUUUUGUUGUCCAGUCUUGACUGCUGCUGAAAGGUGACACACUGGGCUGGAAACAUACUGAGACACACAGCUGGACAACGGACAGAGAGUGAGAGAUCUUGGAGCACUCAGUCCUAAAUGGGAUGCCUGCAUGAAUUCCUUUCCCUCGGGACUCAAGAGAAUCCUUUGAAAGAGGAGGCAGAAAAAUUGUAAGAUACAGACUGGGUGGCAGACACUAAGGAAACAAGGCUUUCUAAAAACAGCAGGGCCGAUACACACAAGAGCUCACAGAGACUGUGGCAGCAUGCACAGGGCCUCUGUGGGUCUGCACCAGAUAUGAUCCCAGUGCUGAAAGAAGUGGACACGAGCCCUCAUCUCUAAUUCAGAAGCCAUAUCUAAUUGAUAACUGCUUGCAAAUGAAAAAAAAAAAAACAAAACAGUUUUUUCCAACAGCGUCUCACUGGGGACACAAACCACUCUUAAAGCCUGGUCCCACAUCCAACA
rnacentral:lncRNA from 1 species